rnacentral:rRNA from 1 species
AUUGAACGCUAGCGGGAUGCUUUACACAUGCAAGUCGAACGGCAGCGCGGACUUCGGUCUGGCGGCGCGUGGCGAACGGGUGAGUAAUGUAUCGGAACGUGCCCAGCAGCGGGGGAUAACUACGCGAAAGCGUAGCUAAUACCGCAUACGCCCUACGGGGGAAAGCAGGGGAUCGUAAGACCUUGCACUAUUGGAGCGGCCGAUGUCGGAUUAGCUAGUUGGUGAGGUAACGGCUUACCAAGGCGACGAUCCGUAGCUGAUUUGAGAGGACGACCAGCCACACUGGGACUGAGACACGGCCCAGACUCCUACGGGAGGCAGCAGUAGGGAAUUUUGGACAAUGGGGGCAAGCCUGAUCCAGCCAUCCCGCGUGUGCGAUGAAGGCCUUCGGGUUGUAAAGCACUGUUGUCAGGAAAGAAACGUCGCGGGCUAAUACCCCGUGGAACUGACGGUACCUGCAGAAUAAGCACCGGCUAACUACGUG